UACGUAGGGGGCAAGCGUUGUCCGGAUUUAUUGGGCGUAAAGAGCGUGUAGGCGGCCAUGUAGGUCCGUUGUGAAAACUCGAGGCUCAACCUCGAGACGCCGAUGGAAACCAUGUGGCUAGAGUCCGGAAGAGGAGAGUGGAAUUCCUGGUGUAGCGGUGAAAUGCGCAGAUAUCAGGAGGAACACCGAUGGCGAAGGCAGGUCUCUGGGCCACUACUGACGCUGAGAAGCGAAAGCGUGGGGAGCGAACAGG
rnacentral:rRNA from 1 species